UACGUAGGGAGCAAGCGUUGUCCGGAUUUACUGGGUGUAAAGGGUGCGUAGGCGGCUUUGCAAGUCAGAUGUGAAAUCUAUGGGCUCAACCCAUAAACUGCAUUUGAAACUGUAGAGCUUGAGUGAAGUAGAGGCAGGCGGAAUUCCCCGUGUAGCGGUGAAAUGCGUAGAGAUGGGGAGGAACACCAGUGGCGAAGGCGGCCUGCUGGGCUUUAACUGACGCUGAGGCACGAAAGCGUGGGUAGCAAACAGGAUUAGAAACCCUAGUAGUCC
rnacentral:rRNA from 1 species